rnacentral:tRNA from 1 species
GCCGGUGUGGCUCAACGGUAGAGCAACGCCUUUGUAAGGCGAAGGUUGGGAGUUCGACUCUCUCCACCGGCACCA